CGCACAUUGCGCCCGCCGGUAUUCUGGCGGGCAUGCCUGUUCGAGCGUCAUUUCAACCCUCGGGCCUGUCCCGGUGUUGGGGCUCCGCCGUCUUGGCGGACCCCUAAAAGCAGUGGCGGAGCCGCCCAGCUCUCAGCGUAGUAAUUUUUCCUCGUUGGGGGCGACAGCGGUCGCUUGCCGUGAAACCACCAUUUUCAUUGUUUGACCUCGGAUCAGGUAGGAAUACCCGCUGAACUUAA
rnacentral:misc_RNA from 1 species